rnacentral:tRNA from 1 species
GGGGUUGUGGCUCAGUGGCAGAGCCCUUUUCUAGCAUAUAUGAGGCACUGGGUUUGAUUCUCGGCACCACA